GCCCGAUUAGCUCAGCUGGUUAGAGCGUCGUACUAAUAUUCCCGCAAGGGUAAUAUCAAGUCAUGCGAAGGUCAACAGUUCAAUCCUGUUAUUGGGCA